AACGAACGCUGGCGGCAUGCCUAACACAUGCAAGUCGAACGAGACCUUCGGGUCUAGUGGCGCACGGGUGCGUAACGCGUGGGAACCUGCCCUUAGGUUCGGAAUAACUCCCCGAAAGGGGUGCUAAUACCGGAUAAUGUCUUCGGACCAAAGAUUUAUCGCCUUUGGAUGGGCCCGCGUUGGAUUAGCUAGUUGGUAGGGUAAAAGCCUACCAAGGCGACGAUCCAUAGCUGGUCUGAGAGGAUGAUCAGCCACACUGGACUGAGACACGGCCCAGACUCCUACGGGAGGCAGCAGUGGGGAAUAUUGGACAAUGGGCGAAAGCCUGAUCCAGCAAUGCCGCGUGAGUGAUGAAGGCCUUAGGGUUGUAAAGCUCUUUUACCCGGGAUGAUAAUGACAGUACCGGGAGAAUAAGCGCCGGCUAACUCCGUG
rnacentral:rRNA from 1 species